AUUUAUUUUUGUAUUCAAGGGUUUCGUCACAAAUGGCACCCUAUUCAAUCAGUGCAUUCCUUCUGACCAGAGCCCGAUAAGGGCACUAUAUAGGGAAUCGGGUGUAAUUUGGGAUGCAGGUUCUCUCUCCCUCUGACAGCUGGGUGGAACCGUAGCCUUCCAGGUGCUGUCCUUCACGGAUGGUGAGAAUGAUUCUGUGAGCAGCCUUCCGGUCUCUUCUUCCUCAGUUGAACCCAUACAAAUGUAAUCCUCCCAGCGGUCUGAGGCUCUGCAUCGCAGUUCUGAUGUUCCACUGGGAUGGGCGUUUGAUCCGUGACCGGGAGUGCCAUAGGGCGGAGUACAGUUGGCCCAGCGCCGUCCGUGGUAGGGGAGGGUUUGACCAGGGGGGGGGGAGUUUCCUUGGAUCAUCGGGCCGGGUACCUGGAAGCUGACUUCGGUCUUCGGGCGGACUGUGUUUCCUCCGAAACAUUGGUGUGGCUGGCUUCCAGGUUAAGUGAGCAGUGGGUUAAGAAGCAGCACGGCUUGGCGGGUCAUGUUUCCGAGGACCCACGGCUCGACCUUCGCCUCUCCUGAGUCCGUUGGGAAGUUGCAGCGACAAGACAAAGGUCAAAACUAGAAAUUGGGGAGAAAAAUAAGUAGAAUAUUCUAGGAUUCUAGUUCUAUGGUUGAACAUCUGAAGCUCUUUUGUUCUCUCAUAGGGGUGCAUCCCAAUAGACUAGAGUCUUUAGCUUCAUCUGCACCGAUAUGAAAUAUGUGGACUGGGUAUAGACAGUAAAACUUCCUGUAAGCAUCCUGUAUGUUACACCUGUCCUGUGUCUUUAGGGGCGGCAGGUAGCCUAGUGGUUAGAGGGGCGGAAGGUAGCCUAGUGGUUAGAGGGGCGUCAGGUAGCCUAGUGGUUAGAGGGGCGGAAGGUAGCCUAGUGGUUAGAGGGGCGGCAGGUAGCCUAGUGGUUUAGAGGGGCGUCAGGUAGCCUAGUGGUUAGAGGGGCGGAAGGUAGCCUAGUGGUUAGAGGGGCGGCAGGUAGCCUAGUGGUUUAGAGGGGCGUCAGGUAGCCUAGUGGUUAGAGGGGCGGCAGGUAGCCUAGUGGUUAGAGGGGCGGCAGGUAGCCUAGUGGUUUAGAGGGGCGGCAGGUAGCCUAGUGGUUUAGAGGGGCGUCAGGUAGCCUAGUGGUUAGAGGGGCGGCAGGUAGCCUAGUGGUUUAGAGGGGCGUCAGGUAGCCUAGUGGUUAGAGGGGCGUCAGGUAGCCUAGUGGUUAGAGGGGCGGCAGGUAGCCUAGUGGUUUAGAGGGGCGUCAGGUAGCCUAGUGGUUAGAGGGGCGUCAGGUAGCCUAGUGGUUAGAGGGGCGGCAGGUAGCCUAGUGGUUUAGAGGGGCGUCAGGUAGCCUAGUGGUUAGAGGGGCGGCAGGUAGCCUAGUGGUUAGAGGGGCGGCAGGUAGCCUAGUGGUUUAGAGGGGCGUCAGGUAGCCUAGUGGUUAGAGGGGCGGAAGGUAGCCUAGUGGUUUAGAGGGGAGGCAUGUAGCCUAGUGGUUUAGAGGGGAGGCAGGUAACCUAGUUGUUAGAGCGUUGGACUAGUAACCGAAAGGUUGAUGGAUCGAAUCCCGGAGCUGACAAGGUAAAAAUCUGUCGUUCUGCCCCUGAACAAGGCAGUUAACCCACUGUUCCUAGGCCGUCAUUGAAAAUAUUUUCGAAUUUGUUCUUAAAACUGACCUACCUAGUUAAAUAAAGGUUAAUAAUAAUAAUAAUGCAGACCACAGAUGAAGGAGAGGAGAGCAAGUCAUUUUACACCACUUGAACUAGUUCUGAUUUGGAAAACAGAACAUCUGAACUGACAACUCCAGUCAGCUUUGAGACUACGCUGUAUCUAAACUGAUUACUACAUGUGAUGUCGGGAUUGACACUAGUUUGUACAACAUAUGAGUCCAAUAUCUCUGGCAAACUCGAGGUCAUUUAAAAAAUGAAUUGGUAUUAUAAUUUCUAUUUAUUUGUUGUUUAUGGUCUGGAUCAUCUUGAGUGGCUUCACAAAUGGAACACUAUUCCCUGUAUAGUGCACUACUUUUGACCAGGGCCCUAUGGAGUAACUAGUGCACUACUUUUGACCAGGGCCCUAUGGAGUAACUAGUGCACUACUUUUGACCAGAGCCCUAUGGAGUAACUAGUGCACUACUUUUGACCAGGGCCCUAUGGAGUAACUAGUGCACUACUUUUGACCAGGGCCCUAUGGAGUAACUAGUGCACUACUUUUGACCAGAGCCUUAUGGAGUAACUAGUGCACUACUUUUGACCAGAGCCCUAUGGAGUAACUAGUGCACUACUUUUGACCAGAGCCCUAUGGAGUAACUAGUGCACUACUUUUGACCAGAGCCCUAUGGAGUAACUAGUGCACUACUUUUGACCAGAGCCCUAUGGAGUAACUAGUGCACUACUUUUGACCAGGGCCCUAUGGAGUAACUAGUGCACUACUUUUGACCAGAGCCUUAUGGAGUAACUAGUGCACUACUUUUGACCAGAGCCCUAUGGAGUAACUAGUGCACUACUUUUGACCAGAGCCCUAUGGAGUAACUAGUGCACUACUUUUGACCAGGGCCCUAUGGAGUAACUAGUGCACUACUUUUGACCAGGGCCCUAUGGAGUAACUAGUGCACUACUUUUGACCAGAGCCCUAUGGAGUAACUAGUGCACUACUUUUGACCAGGGCCCUAUGGAGUAACUAGUGCACUACUUUUGACCAGAGCCCUAUGGAGUAACUAGUGCACUACUUUUGACCAGGGCCCUAUGGAGUAACUAGUGCACUACUUUUGACCAGAGCCCUAUGGAGUAACUAGUGCACUACUUUUGACCAGAGCCCUAUGGGGUAAGUCGUGCACUAUAUUAGGGAAUAGGGUGCCAUUUUGGGGAGUACCAAAUAACAAAAAUUGAAGUUUUUGUUGAGCAGCUAUGUACUCUUAGCUACACAAUGAAAUACUCCCUGCUGGGACAAUAAAGUUUGAAUUGAACUGGUCUCUUUAAUAUGGUUGUAAACACACUGUACACACACCAGGAACAGUAGACCUGACAUCCGGACCCCCUCAAUACACACCAGGAACAGUAGACCUCACAUCCUGACCCCCUCAAUACACACCAGGAACAGUAGACAUCACAUCCUGACCCCCUCAACAGGAGUAAUUUCACUGUAUGAUUCUGUCCCAAAUGGCCCAGGUGAAAAGUAGUGCACUUGUUACUCCAUAGGGUCUGGUCAAAAGUAGUGCACUAUAUAGGGGAAUAGGGUGCCAUUUUGGCCAGAGACUAUGAUUAGUUCCUUGUUGUUCAGAGAUGUAGCCUAGGCCUAGAUCUGUAAUCUACAGACUCUUUGUUAGGCUACUUCUCUAAUCACUCUCACAGGUGAGGUUUAAUCCAAAGUAUUCCGUCUCUGAAUCCACCGUUGAAUCAGAGUCCUCUUCCUGUGUGUCAUUUCCUUGUAGUGCUGAUGAUGCAUGUCCCGCUUCCUCUGUUUCUGUCUCUCCUAGCAGGGAACCCCUGUCUUUCUCUUCUUCUCUCUCUUCCUGUACUGUUGAUCCUCUAUCCUCCUCUCUUUCUGUCUCUUCUGACAGUGGACUCCACUCUUCCUCAUCUUCUUCACCCUCUUCCUCCAGUGGACCCCAGUCCAGCUCUAUUUCAAACUCAUCCUCCACUGGCCCCCCGUCCUCCUCUCUUCCGGUCUCCUCUGUCGGUUUAGCCGUAGGAGGAGGUCGUGGGCAGACUUCACCGCUGACACUAUGUUGGAAAAACAGCUCACAGUCCUCCCUCCAGCAUUUGAUGUUGAUGUUGUACCCAGCUGCCUUCAUCUCUUUCUGCUUAUUUAGGACAUUGCUAUGUGUGGUUGUUAUGCCCAUUUUAGAGAGUCUUUUGAAAAUGGGCUUAACCCCCCCUUGGGUCAGUGUUGUGUUGAUGACAUAGGCCAGUGCAGAAAGCCUGGGGUUUCUACCUCUCAGGACCACAGAGGCAGCCACACAGUUAUGGAUGGUGGAACCACCUGUUGCAGUAUUGAUGGUGGUAUAAAGCCAUGGUGUCUUCCUGGACAACUCAUUAUCCAACGCUUCGUAUGAAAAAUACUUCAUUUUCUCCAACGAGGUACUACUCAAAAUGCAAGGUUCAGCAGAGGUCAAGUAAUUUAAGGGUCUUGCAUAUGCCUUGACCUCUGCUUCUAUUUUCUGCGUCAUCUGCUUUCUGAUUUCUUGACACAUGGUCUCAUUCGUCAAGGCUAACCUGACAAAUGUCGCCAGUUUGCCUUUCGCCAGGUUUUCAACCAUUCCAGAAAAUUCUGAUGAAACCUUCUUGACCCUCUUUGGAUCCAAUUGGUUCGGGUAUGUUAUGACAACCUGCAAAAUAAUG
ensembl:lncRNA